rnacentral:tRNA from 1 species
GGCAGGGUUGCCAAUGGAUAAAGAACUGGACUGAGACUCGGGAUAUCUGGGUUCUAUUCCCAGCUCAGCCA